rnacentral:rRNA from 1 species
ACGGAAGGCAGCAGUAGGGAAUAUUGCACAAUGGGGGAAACCCUGAUGCAGCAACGCCACGUGUGGGAAGAAGCAUUUCGGUGUGUAAACCACUGUCGUGAAGGAAUAAGGCUUAUUUUCGGAUAAGUUGAAUGUACUUUGAAAGGAAGCACCGGCAAACUUCGUGCCAGCAGCCGCGGUAAUACGAGGGGUGCAAGCGUUGUUCGGAAUCACUGGGCGUAAAGGGAGCGUAGGCGGAGACGCAAGCAGUCUGUACAAUACCGGGGCCCAACCCCGGACCUGCAGACUGGACUGUGUCUCUUGGAUAGUUCAGGGGCAGGCAGAAUUCCUGGUGUAGCGGUGGAAUGCGUAGAGAUCAGGAAGAACACCGAUGGCGAAGGCAGUCUGCUGGGGACUCAUCGACGCUGAGGCUCGAAAGUGCGGGUAGCAAACAGGAUUAGAUACCCUGGUA